rnacentral:rRNA from 1 species
UUAAGCGACUAAGCGUACACGGUGGAUGCCCUGGCAGUCAGAGGCGAUGAAGGGCGUGCUAAUCUGCGAUAAGCGCCGGUAAGGUGAUAUGAACCGUUAUAACCGGCGAUACCCGAAUGGGGAAACCCAGUGUGAUUCGUCACACUAUCAUUAACUGAAUCCAUAGGUUAAUGAGGCGAACCGGGGGAACUGAAACAUCUAAGUACCCCGAGGAAAAGAAAUCAACCGAGAUUCCCCCAGUAGCGGCGAGCGAACGGGGAGGAGCCCAGAGCCUGAAUCAGCAUGUGUGUUAGUGGAAGCGUCUGGAAAGGCGCGCGAUACAGGGUGACAGCCCCGUACACAAAAGCGCAUGUGCUGUGAGCUCGAUGAGUAGGGCGGGACACGUGGUAUCCUGUCUGAAUAUGGGGGGACCAUCCUCCAAGGCUAAAUACUCCUGACUGACCGAUAGUGAACCAGUACCGUGAGGGAAAGGCGAAAAGAACCCCGGCGAGGGGAGUGAAAAAGAACCUGAAACCGUGUACGUACAAGCAGUGGGAGCCCCACCACUAAGCCAGUGGUGAACUCCACAUACGCAUCCUUUGCUGAGGAUACGGUUAACGGAGCGAAAGCGACGUUCAACCGCAAAAGAAGCAGAGGGGGCUUAGUGGUGGGGUGACUGCGUACCUUUUGUAUAAUGGGUCAGCGACUUAUAUUCUGUAGCAAGGUUAACCGAAUAGGGGAGCCGGAGGGAAACCGAGUCUUAAUUGGGCGUUAAGUUGCAGGGUAUAGACCCGAAACCCGGUGAUCUAGCCAUGGGCAGGUUGAAGGUUGGGUAACACUAACUGGAGGACCGAACCGACUAAUGUUGAAAAAUUAGCGGAUGACCUGUGGCUGGGGGUGAAAGGCCAAUCAAACCGGGAGAUAGCUGGUUCUCCCCGAAAGCUAUUUAGGUAGCGCCUCGUGAAUUCAUCUCCGGGGGUAGAGCACUGUUUCGGCUAGGGGGCCAUCCCGGCUUACCAACCCGAUGCAAACUGCGAAUACCGGAGAAUGUUAUCACGGGAGACACACGGCGGGUGCUAACGUCCGUCGUGAAGAGGGAAACAACCCAGACCGCCAGCUAAGGUCCCAAAGUCAUGGUUAAGUGGGAAACGAUGUGGGAAGGCCCAGACAGCCAGGAUGUUGGCUUAGAAGCAGCCAUCAUUUAAAGAAAGCGUAAUAGCUCACUGGUCGAGUCGGCCUGCGCGGAAGAUGUAACGGGGCUAAACCAUGCACCGAAGCUGCGGCAGCGAACGUAUCACUUAAAGCGAUUCAGCGGGUUACGAUUGACGGAGCGAAGCGACGUCAAAGCGUAUACAAAGUCGAGUCGGUUUAAGGAUACGUUCGUUGGGUAGGGGAGCGUUCUGUAAGCCUGUGAAGGUGGCCUGUGAGGGUUGCUGGAGGUAUCAGAAGUGCGAAUGCUGACAUAAGUAACGAUAAAGCGGGUGAAAAGCCCGCUCGCCGGAAGACCAAGGGUUCCUGUCCAACGUUAAUCGGGGCAGGGUGAGUCGACCCCUAAGGCGAGGCCGAAAGGCGUAGUCGAUGGGAAACGGGUUAAUAUUCCCGUACUUGGUGUUACUGCGAAGGGGGGACGGAGAAGGCUAUGUUGGCCGGGCGACGGUUGUCCCGGUUUAAGCGUGUAGGUGUGUGUUCCAGGUAAAUCCGGUUCACUUUAACACUGAGGCGUGAUGACGAGGCACUACGGUGCUGAAGCAACAAAUGCCCUGCUUCCAGGAAAAGCCUCUAAGCAUCAGGUAACAUCAAAUCGUACCCCAAACCGACACAGGUGGUCAGGUAGAGAAUACCAAGGCGCUUGAGAGAACUCGGGUGAAGGAACUAGGCAAAAUGGUGCCGUAACUUCGGGAGAAGGCACGCUGACAUGUAGGUGAAGUGAUUUACUCAUGGAGCUGAAGUCAGUCGAAGAUACCAGCUGGCUGCAACUGUUUAUUAAAAACACAGCACUGUGCAAACACGAAAGUGGACGUAUACGGUGUGACGCCUGCCCGGUGCCGGAAGGUUAAUUGAUGGGGUCAGCGCAAGCGAAGCUCCUGAUCGAAGCCCCGGUAAACGGCGGCCGUAACUAUAACGGUCCUAAGGUAGCGAAAUUCCUUGUCGGGUAAGUUCCGACCUGCACGAAUGGCGUAAUGAUGGCCAGGCUGUCUCCACCCGAGACUCAGUGAAAUUGAACUCGCUGUGAAGAUGCAGUGUACCCGCGGCAAGACGGAAAGACCCCGUGAACCUUUACUAUAGCUUGACACUGAACAUUGAGCCUUGAUGUGUAGGAUAGGUGGGAGGCUUUGAAGUGUGGACGCCAGUCUGCAUGGAGCCGACCUUGAAAUACCACCCUUUAAUGUUUGAUGUUCUAACGUGGACCCGUAAUCCGGGUUGCGGACAGUGUCUGGUGGGUAGUUUGACUGGGGCGGUCUCCUCCUAAAGAGUAACGGAGGAGCACGAAGGUUGGCUAAUCCUGGUCGGACAUCAGGAGGUUAGUGCAAUGGCAUAAGCCAGCUUGACUGCGAGCGUGACGGCGCGAGCAGGUGCGAAAGCAGGUCAUAGUGAUCCGGUGGUUCUGAAUGGAAGGGCCAUCGCUCAACGGAUAAAAGGUACUCCGGGGAUAACAGGCUGAUACCGCCCAAGAGUUCAUAUCGACGGCGGUGUUUGGCACCUCGAUGUCGGCUCAUCACAUCCUGGGGCUGAAGUAGGUCCCAAGGGUAUGGCUGUUCGCCAUUUAAAGUGGUACGCGAGCUGGGUUUAGAACGUCGUGAGACAGUUCGGUCCCUAUCUGCCGUGGGCGCUGGAGAACUGAGGGGGGCUGCUCCUAGUACGAGAGGACCGGAGUGGACGCAUCACUGGUGUUCGGGUUGUCAUGCCAAUGGCACUGCCCGGUAGCUAAAUGCGGAAGAGAUAAGUGCUGAAAGCAUCUAAGCACGAAACUUGCCCCGAGAUGAGUUCUCCCUGAGACUUUAGGUCUCCUGAAGGAACGUUGAAGACGACGACGUUGAUAGGCCGGGUGUGUAAGCGCAGCGAUGCGUUGAGCUAACCGGUACUAAUGAACCGUGAGGCUUAACCUU